rnacentral:rRNA from 1 species
AUUGAACGCUGGCGGCAGGCCUAACACAUGCAAGUCGAGCGGAUGAAGGGAGCUUGCUCCUGGAUUCAGCGGCGGACGGGUGAGUAAUGCCUAGGAAUCUGCCUGGCAGUGGGGGAUAACGUCCGGAAACGGGCGCUAAUACCGCAUACGUCCUGAGGGAGAAAGUGGGGGAUCUUCGGACCUCACGCUAUCAGAUGAGCCUAGGUCGGAUUAGCUAGUUGGUGGGGUAAAGGCCUACCAAGGCGACGAUCCGUAACUGGUCUGAGAGGAUGAUCAGUCACACUGGAACUUAGACACGGUCCAGACUCCUACGGGAGGCAGCAGUGGGGAAUAUUGGGCAAUGGGCGAAAGCCUGAUCCAGCCAUGCCGCGUGUGUGAAGAAGGUCUUCGGAUUGUAAAGCACUUUAAGUUGGGAGGAAGGGCAGUAAGUUAAUACCUUGCUGUUUUGACGUUACCAACAGAAUAAGCACCGGCUAACUUCGUG